GAUGAACGCUGGCGACGUGCCUAAUACAUGCCAGUAGAACGCUGAAGCUUGGUGCUUGCACCGAGCGGAUGAGUUGCGAACGGGUGAGUAACGCGUAGGUAACCUGCCUCUUAGCGGGGGAUAACUAUUGGAAACGAUAGCUAAUACCGCAUAAAAGUCGAUAUCGCAUGAUAUUGAUUUGAAAGGUGCAAUUGCAUCACUAAGAGAUGGACCUGCGUUGUAUUAGCUAGUUGGUGAGGUAACGGCUCACCAAGGCGACGAUACAUAGCCGACCUGAGAGGGUGAUCGGCCACACUGGGACUGAGACACGGCCCAGACUCCUACGGGAGGCGGCAGUAGGGAAUCUUCGGCAAUGGGGGCAACCCUGACCGAGCAACGCCGCGUGAGUGAAGAAGGUUUUCGGAUCGUAAAGCUCUGUUGUAAGAGAAGAACGAGUGUGAGAGUGGAAAGUUCACACUGUGACGGUAACUUACCAGAAAGGGACGGCUAACUACGUG
rnacentral:rRNA from 1 species